rnacentral:rRNA from 1 species
GUGUCAGCCGCCGCGGUAAUACGGAGGAUCCAAGCGUUAUCCGGAAUCAUUGGGUUUAAAGGGUCCGUAGGCGGGCCUGUAAGUCAGUGGUGAAAUCCGGCGGCUUAACCGUCGAACUGCCAUUGAUACUGCAGGCCUUGAAUUAUUGGGAAGUAACUAGAAUAUGUAGUGUAGCGGUGAAAUGCUUAGAUAUUACAUGGAAUACCGAUUGCGAAGGCAGGUUACUAUCAAUACAUUGACGCUGAUGGACGAAAGCGUGGGGAGCGAACAGGAUUAGAAACCCCAGUAGUCC